rnacentral:rRNA from 1 species
GAUGAACGCUAGCGGGAGGCUUAACACAUGCAAGUCGAGGGGCAUCACGAGGUAGCAAUACUUUGGUGGCGACCGGCGCACGGGUGAGUAACGCGUAUGCAACCUACCCUGUACAGUGGGAUAACCCGGAGAAAUUCGGACUAAUACCGCAUAAAGAUAUUUUGAGGCAUCUUAAGAUAUUUAAAGCUUAGGUGGUACGGGAUGGGCAUGCGUAACAUUAGCUGGUUGGUAGGGUAACGGCCUACCAAGGCGAUGAUGUUUAGGGGACCUGAGAGGGGGAUCCCCCACACUGGUACUGAGACACGGACCAGACUCCUACGGGAGGCAGCAGUGAGGAAUAUUGGUCAAUGGGCGGAAGCUUGAACCAGCCAUCCCGCGUGCAGGAAGACAGCCCUAUGGGUUGUAAACUGCUUUUCCAGUGGGCGAAACACUCGUACGUGUACGAGAUUGACGGUACACUGGGAAUAAGCAUCGGCUAACUCCGUGCCAGCAGCCGCCGUAAGAC